rnacentral:lncRNA from 1 species
AUAUAUCUAGCCAAUUAUUUAGAAUACAAUAUGCAUGCUUGAAUAUUUGAGCCGCUCUUUCCCAACAGGAACACAAUAAUAUAACAAAUAAAAGACAGAUCUGCAUUGUGUCAGCUUCGUGUAAGGGAGUUUGAACCUUAGUUUUUUUUUUAAAGUUUCUUCAAUUAUUGACUGCAAAUAUACCUAUUUUAUCAAUAUCAGUACCGCAUAAAAAUUUAAAACUGAUGAACUCUCGGGUCCUAGUAGUCCACCAGAAAAUAGACGAUACGAACCAUUUACGAAAACAAAACUCAUGAUACUUAGAUAAAGAGAAAAGAUUAGCUUUUCUUUGCUUCAAGUCUUGAAAAGUAACUUCUAACAUUUGUCCGCAUUGAUUGAACAUUUGACGUCAUGAUUAUCACGAAACAUUUCCUUAUAUAAAUAUAUAUAGAACUAACACACAUUGUCA